ensembl:lncRNA
CUCAUGAGUUUAGACUGUUGUACAUGGUGUUUUGAGAAACCCUUUUAAUGGAAGGAGUAUUGUGAACUGUGGCUGGCUGGUAAAUGCAGAGUGUUGCAUAAGUCUUUGUGCAGAGACACCAAUGAGUCACAGCUAUGGCACAUUCAUGAUUUCCAGUUUUGUCACCAUCUGUUUUCUCCCCUUUCCUCUGCGUGAUGUUCUUUUGAUCGAACAAUAUCUCACAGUGAAUGGCCUUACUUUGAUCCGCCGUAAUAGUCAUAGCCUGUACAAAAAAAAAACUCCGCUUGGUGUCCCAAUAAGCAUCCAAAUCCAAUUAUCCAUCCAGGGUAAUAAUAUAAACCACAUCAUAUCCUAUCAUGAUGAUAAAGUGGGCCUGGCCCUCUCUGUGUCAUGCCGCAAGAGCUCCGCUAGCUUUUUUUUUUUUUUAUUGGAUUUGGCCCAAUGCACUUGCAUUCAUGCUGGUGUUUAUGAGUGGCAAAUUGCUGUUUGAUAUCCAAAUAACGUCGGGGGGGUUCUCUCCUAUGUUACGGGAGCACAGGGAAAAUUGCAAGGCACCCCCCUCCCCCCAGUCAGCCAUGAUGGAUUGGUUUUAAUAUCUGGUGAAAAGCUAAGAUGCACGGUGAUUAAAAAGAGAGUGCUUACUAAUUUUUUUCCCUCUCUUUGCAUCUCUUUCUUUCCCGAUAGAGGAAUGACAUCUUGUCAACUGUGCCAGCUCCUUCGUGGGUUGUUUUUAAUUGUUAGGUCAGACUUAUUAGGCUUUUAUUUUGAAAGUAGUGCCAUUUUAAUUGCCAUGCCAAGCCUUCAGUGGGUCUGAAAAAGAUUUAUGCAUGCAAAACAGAAACUACUGUGAAGUCCAGUCGUAGUUUCAGACCUUCUGAAUCAAAAUGAACCUUGUUUUGUGAUGUGUUUGACUUGUGUGUCAAAUAUGUCCCUUUUGAGAAUUUUUUUAUUUUUUUGUAAUCUUUUUGUUGUUGUACAACUCAAUAUGUCCUGAAUUAUCAAACUUACACUUACUUCCCCGGUUGUUGGUUUUCUCAAAUCAUGACUCAGAUUGUUUGUGAGGUAUAGGGAUAUUUUAACUCUCCUUUGAACACAUUGAGGCAAAGGGAGCGCUGUGAUCAGUAGAGGGCAAUGUUGUGCUACAGAUGCACAGAUUUAGGAGUCGAGAGAAUGGUAGAGAGAGAAAUGUGCAUCUUUCUGCAUUGUCUCUCACUGUGAUCACUCCAUUUGAACUCCCUGCCUUCACGG